AUUAGCUGACGAGUCCCAAAUAGGACAAAACGCGCUUCUUGGAU
rnacentral:hammerhead_ribozyme from 1 species